GGGACGUUAGCCCAGCUGGUUUAGAGCGCUGCCUUCACACGGCAGAGGUCACUGGUUCGAGUCCAGUACGUCCCA
rnacentral:tRNA from 1 species